rnacentral:rRNA from 1 species
UUUCUCGAAAGUAAAAGAUCUAAAUAAUUUUGUUAUUUUUUGUGACAAAAAAAUUGAAUAAGUUUGUUUAGGUGUGAAAUGCUAAUCGUUUUUACUAAUAUCUAGUAACCUUAGAAAAAAAUUUAGUUUGGGUCGUAAAAGGGUUUUUUGUCUUUUUUAUGGACUUAUAUUUUAGGGGAUGAGCUCUAGAAUAAAUUAAAAGAAGAAAUAAAUUUAUAUUUUUUGUAGGCUUAGAAUUGGUCACAAGAUAGUGUUAUAAAAUAGAAUAGAAAGUUUAGGAUUUCAUCUUCUUUGGAAUUUAUAAGGUUAAUAAGAUAAUGAAAGAAUUGUUGAAAAUAUGAUAGUAUAAGUAGAGUUAAGUUUGAAAUUCCCUUGAUAAAGAAAUUGGACAUGCUUAUAGCAAAAGAACUCGGCAAAGAAGAUUUCCGAAUGUUUAACAAAAACAUUUCCUCUCAGAAAAGGGAGGUAAGGCCUGCUCACUGAGUUUUGAAGAGCCGCAGUAUCCUGACUGUGCUAAGGUAGCAUAAUCAUUAGUCUUUUAAUUGAAGACUGGUAUGAAUGGCUAAACGAGAAAUCAACUUUUUUUGCUAUAAAAAUUGAAUUUAAUUUUUUAGUGAAAAAGCUAAAAUUUUUCAGAAAGACGAGAAGACCCUAAGAGUUUUAUAUUUUGGAAAAUUUUUUCUUAGUAGAUUUUUUUGGGUAAAAUUUUUUGAGAAUAUUUUGUUGGGGCGACAUUUAGAUAAAAAAAACUCUUUAUUUUUUAAACUUUUUUUAAAGAAUUUAUUGAUCCUUUAGAAAAGAUCAAAAGAAAAAAUUACCUUAGGGAUAACAGCGUAAUCUUUUUUGAGAGUUCUGAUCGACAAAAAGGUUUGCGACCU